CAAGGUAGUCUCGGGGCUCGGGGCUGGCUGGCUCUGGGCUGCGGGAGUGCGGGCUGAGCGCCGAGGGUUGGCGUCGCUCGCUCAGCAGGGAGAGGAGAGCGGCGGGGCGAGGGGAGGGGAGGCGAUCCCAAGGGGUGAGGCGGCGGGGCGGGGCGGGCGCGGCGGGGCGAUCCCAAGGGGUGAGGCGGCGGCUGGGGCGGGUGGCGGGUCGGGGCAGCGGGGAGGGGGGCUGCGGUGGGUCUUAAUGUGUGUAUGUGUGUAUGUAGGCUCGGCUGCGGUCGGAAGCCAGCGCCGGCCACCAAGCGGCGGCUGGCGGCGGAGUGCGGCGGGCGAGGGCAGGGCGGGGCGAGGCCGCGGCGCGGGGAGGGCGGAGCCGGGGCGGGCGCCAGGGACCCGCGACAAAGGGGCUCCAUAGCAAGGAGGACAAUAGGCACAGCAAACUACGCCAAAUUACCGCUCAUUAUACGUCUGAGGACCAGGCGGAGUCGGGGGGGCCGGAGGAUACUACCCAAGAUGGCGCGGUGUUUUAUACCCUGUUGGUUACGGGUACGUCACCGGUGGUCCAGGCGGUGUUGUCGGAGGAGUCAAGUACGUUGGUCGCGGUGUUGUCAUAGCCGGACAACCAGUCCGGUACGGUCCUCAAUUGUACCCGUACGGUCCCGUCUACGUUGUAAAAGUCGUUGGACCCGGUGUAUAAGGAGUGAGACCAGUACAAGGCGGACGUAGCGUUCGACAAGGAUACGGCAUGGUCCGUCGAUCUGGAUACAGUAGUCGAGGAUACGUCGGUGUCGUCGUUCGACAUAAGGGACCACCUGAAUACGGGUGGUACCCGUGGGGAUACGGCGGAGGAAGAAUAUGGAUAGUUGGUUGUAGCCAAGGAGGACCUAGAGUUGGGACCCCGUGUCGGGGCCCAGUCCCGCGUGGAGAACACAGCGGCUACCACGUCGGACCCGUAGUCAGAGAGAGUCGAAGUCACGGGGGUCACUCGAGUUGACUUGGAUCGAGACGCCUAACCGUUCUCGUGUCAAGUCCCCUACCUUUCUUCAUGAUAAUGUUAUUCUCCUGUUUCGUUAGUUCAACCCUCUUUGGACGACUCAACUACUGGGGAAACCUCGCCCGACUGCGAAGUUGACUUACCUUUCUUAAAUGAUGUCGUCUUCCUGCCUUCAUGAUAAUGUUGUUUCACUGUUUCGUUAGGUUUACCAGAUAAGGACUACUCGAUUCCUAACGUGCACUUAAUCGUCUCUUCUGUAGUUUAGUCGUCGGACAGGCCCUCUAACUUAGGUGACGACAACGGGGACAACCUAGGUGAAGACAACGGGGACAACCUAGGUGAAGACAACGGGGACAACCUAGGUGAAGACAAAGACACCUCGGAAGGAAUGGACGGUUUGUCAGAAGUAGAAAUCAUCCUUGUUAACGAGGUUCGAGGGUACUACGCUAUCGUUUGAACGGAGGAGGACCACGACCGGGCAGCAUGUUACCCCUAUAUAGAAGAAGAUCAAGGUACGUUUUGCCACCUUGUUCACGACGACACCAACGGGGACAAUGUUGCUCGUGCCCUUAAGGUAGUCAACGUUCACUACGUCCCUGUUUGUCUUCGUGAAUACCUUCAAGUAGAGAUGGAUCAUGAUGACUGUGUUUUCAACCUCGUAGACGACUUCUAAACCUCCUCCGGUUUUUCUGUUACGGUUGACGUCCCUUCUAGUUACAAUGAGGCGACCUCCUAUUUUGUUCACUUCUUCUUGGACAACAAAUACGAUGAUUCAACCUUCGUUUCUUACGUAAGUUCAGGGACGAACUUAGUCGUUUACAAGUCAGACUAACCAGUACCCUAGUCCGGUACUCUCAAUAAUAUUCACUGUUUUCUAUACCACGAGACUUUUGAGAACCUCUCUCUUUCGUUCGAAAGUUACUCAUGAAUUUGGUCGCCUUUUUCUAACUUCAACUCCUCUCCGCACAGUUCGUUUCCUUUCGUGCACUACUAAAAGAGUGUUACGACCUUCUUACAUUCCUGGAAUGUAGUAGUGACUCUACCUCGUUUCGUUAAUGAUACAAACCCGUACUACUUUCCAAGUUACGACAACUUGCGGGGUUCCUCGCACUUCUAAAUAAACUCUUGAUAGAGCACCUCGACGUUUUCUUCCUUUUUCGUUUCCGACGACUUCUCGUGUUUUCUGCGUAUCGUCUUAUAUCUCUUAAAGAACUCAGUACACUAAAGUAGUUCCGUUUGAGGGUCACCGCUUUUCAAGUUCUAGCCGAUCUCCUACUACUUGCGAUACGGGCUGAACUCUUCUAACUGGCGAACCUACAAAAAGUUCUGAUAUAUUCCGUAGAACUCUUUCUUCUUCUUCUUGUCUUCUCUUAAGCCUUCCUCGUUAAUUCCUCUGUCCUUGCCUUUUUGGCGCUACUCAAAGCCUUCUACUACCUUCUUGUACAACGACUACCGUGUGAAUUACGUUUUUGAAUGACCGCACUGAUGACAAGUGUCUAUUUUCUAAGUGCACGAAUGGACCGUCAACGAAGUUUGAACAGACCGAGCUACGGUUUUCUUGAGAAACUACUACAGUACCUCCUCGAACUAUUCGUCAUAGUUCUACUAUCCCGAAAUUAAUUUCUACUUCACUUUAGACCUUUCUAAGGAUACAACCGGAGUACCUGUAAUCUCCUGAAGGUUCGACGACAAUGACUCCUACUUUUUAUAUUUCCUCACAGCUUGUAUUUAUAGUUCGAAUAAAUACUCCUGGUUUAACUUUCCGAGUUCCUUUUCCUAGAUUUCCUCCGGUUCUUCGCAGUCGCUGACCCACUAUUAAAAGACCUAGAUGACAUAAGUUAGUUCCUUUAAUGACGACGAAGUUGUACCCUACUAAGAUUUAGUGAUAAACUACUAUGGGUCCUUAUGUCCCUAGACCCACCGCUCUGUAUACGAUUUCUCGAAAAACUUCUCAUAUAACGGGCGGAGUUUCUUUCCGAAUUUCUCUUUCUCGCGUACUCCCUUCUUCUCUUCCGCUUCUUUCUCUUUCUGGCACUUCUCUCUCUUUUCUUCUUUCUCUUCCUUUUCCUUUUCUUCCUCUUUCUAGCGUUUCUGUUUCUUUCUCUGGCUCUCUUCCUUUCUCUUUCCCUUUUUCCUUUUCUGGCCAGUUCCUCUCUACUUUACCUAUAACUACUACUACACCUUUAAGUACGGAGUUUUCUAUUCUUUGCUCUCUUCCUAUUUCUUUUCUUCGUAUUUUCCGCGGUGGUACUGUGGUGUCUAAGACUUUCCCUACUCUUCCUACUGAGCUCCUUUAGAGCUUCCGUAUCGUCACUAGCGUUCUUUAGAUCCUUCGUGUGGGUACGAAGUCUGAGUCUAUCACUUUUGGCCGUAUCUUCUGUGUUUUUCCUAGCUCUAUCAAGGGCGUUUUUACCACCCGUACUCCUCGAACUUCUGCCACUUGAACCUCUUCUACCCCUCUAGGCAAUCCGAAACGAAAAUGGAGGUUCUAAACAGUCAUGAAUGUUGACAGGGAACAGUACAAGAGUUAACGACGAUAAAACAGAAUAAGACGAAUUAUUGACUGAUCACAAUAUUAAUGGCUUUUAAUUACGGAUGUAAAAACAGUAAAAGACCUUAGAUGAGUAAUAAGACGGAAAGACGUCAUCGUAUUUUGACCAACCGGAUAUGAAAACUGGAACGAGUCCCCUCGAAACAGCAGAUUGAAAACACCACAUCGCCACGUAAAUCGAGCCUGCUAAAUCACAUACAAACGUUCAAUGAUCAAAAUUACGAAUAUAGUGAUUUGUUCAAAGAAUGACUGUUAAAACCCACUCUGUAGUCUCAAACCCAUCACCACAGGACUAACAUCCGUUAUACCAAAAACUGGUUCGCUCACUACCUGUCAACGUACGCGGACAAUGGUAACUAAGUCGUACCUGUACCUACGGACAUCGGCGUGAUUGUUGUGGACAAACGUUCUCCCCGUCGGCGACGUCGUCAAGUAGAAAGUGUCGUUACUCAUUAAACUGUCAAGACAGUACUCCCCUAAAUUCUAACAUUACUACACAUGUACACAUACGUACUUACGUAUGAGUAUCAGCCGACUAGAACAGUGUCCUACGGACCAAAAUGACCGUUCUACAAGGCUCAUCUCUACGUUCGCCGCGGCGACGUUGACGGGACAAGCCGACCGGUUUAGUCGACAUCAUCAAAAAAGCACAGUAAUCAUAUUAAACAUGACACUAUCGACGAAUUGACCGACAACGACCGCGUGGAGAACGUAGGAUCAAAACUCCCAUCGAUAGUAGUUGAACUAAAGAUGCGACUUCAUAUAUGUACAAACACACACACACACACACACACAAUAAUUAGGAACAUUGGGUCGGCAAGACUAACAACACACAAUUACGAACAUUGGGUCGACUUCUCCCAAUCGACAACCGGUACCACACGUCGAAUAUAUAAUAACUGGCCAUUCCAAAUACGUAAGACAAAUACGUCCCUUCGCCUGCAAAACCAAAGGCCAAUAACAACGAGAGACAACCACUUAGUACAAGACGUCAUACAGAUAAAAGCCGGACAUUCCAAAUAUACUAGACAAAUACUUUGAAACGCACUCAAGUCAACACACAAUAACAAAUUGAGCGUAUGACGAACUCCAUAUGUAAAAAGACGGUCAAACAUGAGGACUUGUGUCGGAUCACAGACGGGACGCCAAUGUAGAUCGUAUCUGAACCAACCAACAGUGUACAAAUAUGAAAUCUUCCCCAAUAAUACAUUUUAAGUGACGGCUUGUACUCAUUAUCGACAACAUCCACAGGCCGUUAUC
rnacentral:rRNA from 1 species